rnacentral:rRNA from 1 species
UACGUAGGGCGCAAGCGUUGUCCGGAAUUAUUGGGCGUAAAGAGCGUGUAGGCGGCCAUACAGGUCAGCUGUGAAAACUCGAGGCUCAACCUCGAGACGUCGGUUGAAACCGUAUGGCUAGAGUCCGGAAGAGGAGAGUGGAAUUCCCGGUGUAGCGGUGAAAUGCGCAGAUAUCGGGAAGAACACCCGUGGCGAAGGCGGCUCUCUGGGACGGUACUGGACGCUGAGACGCGAAAGCGUGGGGAGCGAACGAGG